UACGUAGGGGGCGAGCGUUGUUCGGAUUUACUGGGCGUAAAGGGCGCGCAGGCGGCUCAUUUUGUCAGGCGUGAAAGCCCCGGGCUUAACCUGGGAACUGCGUUUGAUACGGAUGGGCUAGAGUUCGGGAGAGGAGAGUGGAAUUCCCAGUGUAGAGGUGAAAUUCGUAGAUAUUGGGAAGAACACCGGUGGCGAAGGCGGCUCUCUGGACCGAUACUGACGCUGAGGCGCGAAAGCGUGGGGGGCAAACAGG
rnacentral:rRNA from 1 species